AUAAGCUCAUAGCAACAACAUCAAAAUUAUUUGAAACCUUAAGGCAGGCAAGGCAGCAACAUCAUCGAAGAUUGAUCAUGCAGAGUUUGACCAUGAAGUUGCUACUCUUAUUAAUCUUUAUUGGUGCCGGAUCAAUCUUAUCACUUUCUGUUGAAGUUAAAAGGAAGUUUCCAGAAGACAAUCAUCAUCGUCGAAUUCCCCGUCGUGUUUCGAAUCCUGAUGGGCCUGGUUAAUUGUGAAAUUGAUCAUGUUUAAUUAGGGUAAUUCAGUUUGGUGUCUGUUUAUAAUUUAGUUUCAGCUACCCUACCUUUGUAUAAUCUGAAAUAUGAAGAAUUUCUCUAUAGGGAAUGAUGAAAUGGUAUUAGCAGCAUGUUUUAAUAAAUUACCUACAAUUAAUAUUC